GAGGCCAGACCAGCUAGAGGGUGGGUGUCUGACAUGCUGAGGGGGCAGGGGCAGGGCCUGGAGAAUAAGAGUGGCACCUCUCAAGCCCAGGCUCAAGCUCAAGGACAGAGCCCAGGCUCAGGUAGAGAGGAACCACAAGGACGGGCCACCAUCGGCACUGCGCUGAGACCCAGGCACUAUAGAAUUCAGAAGAUAGGAGUCUAGCAGCCUCCAGACAGGGCAAGGAGGGGACAGAGAAAGAUGUGGGUGCAGGACGCACAGACACCUCUCCUUCCCUGCCUGCUGAGCCACCCUCACCAGGCCCUCGGGAUCAGGUCCAAGUUCUUCUGCCUGGCGCUCAGUGGCAUCAUCUUCCGCUGACCUACAUUUCCAGCCAUAUCAUUCAUUUCUCCCACCUCAAACGCCAGCCUCCACCAUCCAGGACGAUUCACAGGUGAGAAAUCUGCAGUGAAGAA
rnacentral:lncRNA from 10 species